GAUCUGAGGCCAGCAAAGAAGACCAGAGCCCAUUUCCUCUUGAUAAGGUAUCUAUCCUGCGCCACUGUUGCAGCCACCACCGCUACUGCCGAAGUUUGCUGACAUCAGAAUCCGGGAUCUUUUUGACUUAAAAUGUAGACUGGAGACCACUGACUAUCCAGGAUUCUUCCAAGUAGUCAGCACCAUGUUGGGACGUCCAGCUUUAUGGACCGAGAAGCUACAGGGUUCUCGCCUCUCUAGCAUGGAGACAGCCAGUGUUGGACUAUUCGACCUCCAUUGUUGGGCAGCGAUGCCAUCUGUAAUCUCCUCUGAGUGCUUUUACACCCCUGCUUUCUCCACCCGGCUCCAAGGCGAGGCCCUGCUGUUGCUCAACCAGAUCGAAGGUUUCGCUGCGUCUGCUUGUAGAGAUUGACAUCAGCAGCCCAGAGGGCAGACAGAAAAUAGCUGCUGGCAGGAAAUGAGCAGUUCUGGUGCUGACCGAUAGAGGGGAAGGAAAUGGGUAGAC